rnacentral:piRNA from 1 species
CUAUUGAUAAGUGAGGUGUACUUC